GUGGGGAAUAUUGGACAAUGGGCGAAAGCCUGAUCCAGCAAUGCCGCGUGAGUGAUGAAGGCCUUAGGGUUGUAAAGCUCUUUUACCCGGGAUGAUAAUGACAGUACCGGGAGAAUAAGCUCCGGCUAACUUCGUGCCAGCAGCCGCGGUAAUACGAGGGGAGCUAGCGUUGUUCGGAAUUACUGGGCGUAAAGCGCGCGUAGGCGGUUUUCCAAGUCAGGGGUGAAAGCCCGGGGCUCAACCCCGGAAUAGCCCUUGAAACUGGAGAACUAGAAUCUUGGAGAGGUCAGUGGAAUUCCGAGUGUAGAGGUGAAAUUCGUAGAUAUUCGGAAGAACACCAGUGGCGAAGGCGACUGACUGGACAAGUAUUGACGCUGAGGUGCGAAAGCGUGGGGAGCAAACAGGAUUAGAAACCCCGGUAGUCC
rnacentral:rRNA from 1 species